AGCAACAACAACUCUGACAAGAUGCAGUUUGGCAUCCGCUUCCUUGUUAAACUCAUCCACGGAGAAACGGGCAGGAGCCCUAUUCACGGGAUGAUCCACAUAAUAAGGAGAUUGACGGGGAGGAGGAGGGGAGACACCGUAAGUUCGCGGGUACUAUAACAAAAGUCCGUAGUGACCACACACAACUAGACAAUCCUUGGCAAAACGAAAAAAAGAAAAAGAAAAAAAGAAGCAAUACCUUGGUAUCCAGGGCCACGCAUUAAAAUUGGACCUCUAUCAGAAGCAGCAGUGCUUGCAAUUAUAGAAUCUGCUACAAAGUAUGCAUCUGCACUUAGAAAACAUGAUACAACAACAACCAAGUUUUAUCCUACUAAGUCGGUUCGGCGAUGAGAAUCCUAAACGCCAAUAAGUGGGGCGCCUGUAUUAGUACACUUGUGUUGAAUGGAGAAUAUUUUUUCACGUGCAUUGUCUGGCUAACAUACUCAAUUUGAUAGUUAAAGGAUGAAUUGGAUUUGAUUAGGGAUAGUAUUAAUUUGAUAGUUAAGGAUGAACUGGACAUGAAGAGGGAUAGUAUUGAGACUAUUCUAAAUAGUGUUGCAUAUUGGUUUGGGAUAGCAAAAAGAGAGGAAAAUUUUGUUGAGAUGACUCAACAAAUGAGAAUUAAUUUCUAUAGGAAGUUAGUCCUUGACAGCAAAACUAGACUAGGUGGUAUAUAAGGAUGUAUUUCCUCGUUUAAAGCAGCUUGAGCCCUCAUAUAAUAAAAAGAAGAUUGGGUGAAGACCUAAUAUGGUGGACGGCAAGAAGUUUGGUUGUGUGUUUGUUGUUAUAGUCAAAACUAAAUUUGUAAUAAAAUAACAAGCUAAUUUAACAUAUAUAUAUAUAUAUAUAUAUAUAUAUAUCGUCGUACCCAGUGCACAAGGCUCCCGCUUUACGCAGGGUCUGGGAGAGGUGAAUGUCGGCUAGCCUUACCCCCAUUUAUGGAGAGGCUGCUCCCAAAUAUAUAUAUAUAGCAUAAAACAGUUACCUUCCACUUCCAUAAAGUUUACCAGCCUCAUUGUUGGAAGCUAAACACUUCCUGGAGUCGAGGGAUCGAAGACAGCAAGGAGCUCCCGAGCAUGGCUGCUAUCUGCAUCGAAGAAGAAAGAAGAAAUGAAGGGUUAAAGCCUCCAACGGCUAGUUUUUGUUUAAAUAUAUGUGUGAGUGUGUGAGUGACAAGUGUACACUUCAGAUUAUAUCACUUAAAACCCAAAAUGAAGGGCUAGGAUUUAAUAUGGAGUAGUGAGGCUAAAAUAGUUGUUUAGGUUUCUUGUCAAUCACUCUUUAAAACAAGUAUGGGUCAUGGCAAUGCACCAUACCCUACUACAAUUUCCCUAACUUAAUGAAAUCAAUGCUGCUGCAUUUUGCACAGCCUUGAAGCCCUAAAAUACACUCCAAAAAGUCAUCUCCUUCUCUGCCAUUUUUAACCCUAAGAAACUAAUCCAAACAAAACAACCAAAAACACCAAAAAACAAACAAACUUUAUAUGGCCUCAGAGCCUAGUUUAUGAUCUUACAACUUUCUGGGCGUAAUCUGUGCAAGUUGAGAUCUUUGGGAGCACCUAUGAAGUGUCCUCAACAACAACAACCAACAAACAACCCUGCAAAUGAAGGGAUCCAGCCGUAGCAGUGAGCUAAAAGCUCCAAUCUUUGAUGGGGAGAACUACGACUUUUGGAGAAUACGAAUGACAACCAUUUUCAAGUCCUAUGAUCUAUGGGAUAUGGUUCAAUACGGGUAUGAACUACCUGAGAUGGAGGUCGAUGCUCUAGAGGAAGACCUCACAGAAACACAACUCAAAACACUGAAGCAGAACCGGAUAGAGGAUGCUAGAGCACUUGGAAUCAUCCAAGGUGCUGUCUCAAACACCAUUUUCCUAAGGAUAGCAAAUGAAGAGAGUGCAAAUGGAGCUUGGGAAGUUUUACAACAAGAGUACAGAGGAGACACCAAAGUCAGAAAAGUAAAACUUCAAUCCCUUAGAAGAGAUUUCGAGUAUACAAGAAUGAGGGAGAAUGAGUUGUUAAAAGACUACUUUACUAGGCUGUUUGAUAUUGUAAACAAGAUGAAAACAUAUGGUGAGGAAUUGCCUAAUGAAAGAAUUGUCCAGAAAAUGUUGAUUAGUUUGACUAAACCCUAUGAUUCAAUAGUGAGUGUCAUUGAAGAAACCAAAGACACUGAAACUCUUAGUGUGCAAGAUGUGAUGACAUCUUUAAGAGCUUUUGACCAAAUGCUUGAGAGACAUGCUGAUUUUGCACCUGAGAAAGCUUUUCAAUCACUCAAUGUUGGAUCUAGUAGUCAAGCUAGUGCAAGCAAACAAAAACCACAGUGGAAGGGCAAGAUCAAGAAAUAUGAAGGAAAUGGGUAUCAAAACUCUAGACCUACCUAAGGCAGCUACUCAAAUGAAGGUCCAAGAACCAAGCAAGAUGAGGUGUGGUACAUUGACAAUGGCUGCAGCAAUCACAUAACUGCACAUGAGUCAUUACUUAUUGAUAUUGACACAAACUUCACUGGAAAAGUGAAAAUGGGAGAUGUAAACAUUGUCAAAGCCAUUAGAAGAGGAACUCUGGUCAUUAACACCAAGAAAUGAAAAAUAUGCAUAAGGGAGGUGAUGCUAGUGCUUGGAUUGGAUGAGAAUCUACUUAGUAUGGAUCAAAUGAUAAAUCAUGGCUAUUUCCUACUCUUUGGGGGAACUGUGGUUGAGAUCUAUGAUGAUAGGUCCCUAUCAAACCUAAUGACUAGAGUGGAAAUGAAAAACAGAAGCUUCUCACUUAUGUUGAAGUACCUAGAGGAAAUGGCAAGAAAAGCAAGUGUGACAGGUUCUAUGAAGCUAUGGCACAAGAGGCUUGGUCAUUUAAACAUGACAAGCCUACAAAAUCUACAAAAGUAUGAAAUGGUGCAAGGUAUACCAAAGAUGGAUCAAUGCAAUGAAACCUGUGAAGGGUGUGUAUUUGGCAAGCAUCACAAAGAUCCAUUUGAAGCUGGAAAGGCUUGGAGAGCAACAAAGCCACUCGAAUUGAUUCACAUGGAUGUGUGUGGACCAAUGCAAACAACAACAAUUAGUGGAAAUAGGUAUUUCCUAACCUUCAUUGAUGACCACACAUGGAUAUGUUGGGUGUAUUUCAUGAGGUUCAAGUCUGAGGUAUUCACAAUAUUCAAGAAGUUCAAGGCAAUGGUGGAAUUACAAAGUGGAUAUCAAAUCAAAAGAUUAAGAAGUGAUAGGGGAGGCAAGUACACUUCACAUGAGUUCAAUGCAUUAUGUGAAAAUGUGGGGUUGGAGAAGCAACUUACUGUGGCAUAUUAACCACAACAAAAUAGGAUUGUAGAAAGGAAGAAUAGGACAAUAGUCGAAAUAGCUAAGUCUAUGAUGCAUGAGAAGAACAUGCCCUAUACAUUUGGGGGUAAAGUUGUGAACACCUCAGUGUACCUAUUGAAUAGAUGCCCUACUAAAGCACUGGAUAAAAAGACAUCAUUUGAAGUGUUCAGUGGAAGGAAGCCUUCUGUGAAGCAUCUGAUAGUGUUUGGCUCAAUGUGCUACACCCACAUCCCUCAACAACUAAGGCAGUAGUUGGAGAAAUCAAGUAAUAAUGGUGUUUUUGUGGGUUAUAAAACCAGUGAGAAAGGGUAUAGAGUUUACAAUUUGUCAACUUAGAAGAUAAUCCUAUCAAGGGAUGUUAUCUUUGAUGAAGACUUUACAUGGAACUGGGAAACAAGGGUAGAAGAGAAGGACAGUGUUUCUCUACAACUUGACCUCAACAAAAGGCAAACAAGAGAGCCUAUGGAGACCUCAGUUAAAGAAAAAGUCAUAGAGAAUGGGGACAUACAAGGGACUCCACAGCAAGCAAGCAUGAGUCCACAACCGAGUCAAUCACAGAUAACAACUCCAAGUUCAACUCUAGUGAGGUUGAGAAGCUUGGAUGAGAUUUAUGCUACUUGUAAAUACUGUGUAAUGGAACCAGACACAUAUGAAUAAGUUAAGAAAGACAAAGCUUGGAAGAAAACAAUGAAGGAAGAACUUGAAAUGAUUGAGAAAAAUGACAUUUGGGAACUUGUAAAUCAACCAAGUGACAAGCCUGUGAUUGAUGUGAAAUAUGUUUACAAAGUGAAGCUCAACCUAGGUGGUUAUGUGCAGAAGAACAAGGCCAAAUUGAUAGCUAAAGGCUACUCAUAGAAGCCUGGUGUAGACUUCAAUGAAACAUUUGCUCCAGUAGUAAGGUUAGACACCAUAAGGACCUUGAUAGCCCUAGCAACCAAGAAGGGUUGAAAGCUGCAUCAAUUGGAUGUCAAAUCUGCAUUUCUAAAUUGAGUGCUAGAGUAGGAGGUGUUUGUGGAACAACCUCAAGGUUUCACAAGUCAAGAGUUUCCAGAGAAGGUGUACAAACUAAAGAAGGCUCUCUAUGGCCUAAAGCAAGCUUCAAAAGCUUACAGUGAGAUUGAUUCCUAUUUCACUAAGAAAGGAUUUCAGAAAAGUCCUAGUGAAGUUACACUCUACACCAAGACAGAAAGCAACAACAAGACACUCAUUGUCUCAAUCUAUGUGGAUGAUGUUGUCUACACUGGAAAUGAUGCUGCAAUGAUUGAAGAGUUCAAGGAAGAGAUGAUGAUGAGGUAUGAAAUGACUGACCUAGGCCUCUUGCAUCAUUUUCUUGGCAUUGGGGUAAUUCAAUAAGCAAGUAGCAUCUUCAUUCAUCAAAUGAAGUAUGUUGAAACUUUGCUUGAAAAGUUUGGAUUGAAAGGAUGCAAAUUGGUCUCUACACCCUUAAUUGCAAAUGAGAAGCUUAAGAAGGAUGGAAGUGAACCUGCAAAUGCUAGUCUUUACAAAAGCAUUGUUAGCAGUCUAUUGUACCUAACUGCAACAAGGCUGGAUCUAAUGUUCUCAGCAAGCCUACUUUAUAGGUUUAUGCAGAAUCCUAGCAAGAUACACAUGGGGACAGCAAAGAGAGUUCUAAGAUAUAUGCAAGGAACACUAGAUUAUGGGAAGUAUGAAAUGAGGAAGUCAACUAUCUUAAUUGGAUUUUGUGACAGUGACUAGGGUGGCAGUGAAGAUGAUAGCAGAAGCACUUCGGGCUAUACUUUCAGUUUUGGUUCAGGGGUUUUCUCGUGGGCCUCUAUGAAGCAACAAAGUGUUGCAUUGUCCACAGCCAAGGCAAAGUAUGUGAGUGCAUCAGAAGUUACAGCUCAAGCUAUUUGGCUAAGAUUCAUACUUAAAAACUUUGGGGAAUUGCAGGUUCAUGCCACACCAGUUCUGUGUGACAACACCUCCGCAAUCGCCAUGACCAAAAUUUCAAUAUUUCAUCAGAGAACAAAGCACAUCAAAAGAAGAUAUCAUUUCAUCAGAAAGGCAUUGCAGGACAACACAAUCAAGCUAAUCUAUUGCAGCACAGAAGAUUAGAUCGCAGACAUUUUCACAAAAGAGAUUCAAUUACCUGAGAGGAUUGCUUGGCAUGACUCCCAGAAGCAGUUUAGAAGGGAGUGUUGGAAGCUAAACAACUCUUGGAGUCGAGGGAUCGAAGGCAGCAAGGAGCUCCCGAGCAUGGUUGCUAUCCGCAUUGAAGAAGAAAGAAGAAAUGAAGGGUUAAAGCCUUCAACGGCUAGUUUUUGUUUAAAUGUUUGUGUGAGUGUGUGAGUGACAAGUGUACACUCCAGAUUAGAUCAUUUAAAACCCAAAAUGAAGGGCUAGGAUUUAAUCUGGAGUAUUAAGGCUAAAAUAGUUGUUUAGGUCUCUUGUCAAUCACUCUCUAAAACAAGUAUGGGUCAUGGCAAUGCACCAUACCCUACUACAAUUUCCCUUACUUAAUGAAAUCAGUGCUGCUGCAUUUGGCACAGCCUUGAAGCCCUAAAACACACUCCAAAAAGUCUUCUCCAUUCUCUGCCAUUUUUAACCCUAAGAAACUAAUCCAAACAAAACAACCAAAAACACCAUAAACAAACAAACUUUAUCACUCAUAUCGUUGCUGCCGGAUUUGGUUUCAACAACUGCUUCGUAAAAUUUGGCCACGCCCUCAUCAAGCACCUCCAAUGUUAGUAGUUGACGGAAAUAACCACACCUGAGCUCCUCCAAAGCAGCAACAACUCUCACGAUAUGCAGUUUGGCAUUCGUUUCCUUGUUAAACUCAUUCACGGCGAAACAGGCAGGAGUCACAUUCACGGGAUGAUACACAGGAUAAAGAGAAGGAUGGGGACGAGGAGGGUAGACACCGUAAGUUGGCGGGUUCUGUAACAAAACUCCGUAGUGUUACAACCACACACAAAGUGCCGAAAGAGAGAAGAAAAAAAAUGGUAGUACCUCGCCGGCGCGGGCGGAGACAUAUUCAGUACUUGCAAUUCUAGAAUCUGUAACAAAGUUUGGAACUGCUCUUGGAAAACAUAAUGAUCUAGUUUUCCCCAUAUUUCCAGCAACCAGAACUAAGGGGGGCGUAAUAUUUGUUGCCCUAAUAAUAUUCAUGUCUCUGGUAUACGAUAUACUACAUACAAGAUUUCUUUUUGGGUGAAACAGCGGGGAGGGGGAUAUACAUAUUAGAUUUUGGCCCAUCGUCACCAUCGUCGUCAUCGUAUUAAUAAUAUGAUAGUUGAAGAAAUCAACCAAACAAACCGAAUCGGUUAAACUCUAAACCCCGAAAGAAUCCUACUCAAUUUUUUGGAUUAACAAACCAAGCAAACGCACACUACAAAUAACGAUUAAAAAUCACCCAACUAAAUCGGUGAAUUAAAAUUACAAACUCAUCCAGAGAGACGACGAGAUCCUAAACUGCUUUGAAAUUUUCUCCCUAUUUCUUCGAGCAGUCGUGUCGUCUGCACUGUUUUGCUUGCUAUAUAUCCAUCUUUUGUGGCUUGUUUUUGCAUUUAAAAGCAAGGUAUAAAAUAUCGAUGAUAUCGGAAAUAUCGAUAGUUCAAAAACACGGAAAUUUCGAUAGAAAUAUCGGGAUAUUAUCGAUAUCGAUAAAAAUUGAAUAAAAACUACGGAAAUUGUAAGAAAAACUUGGAAAUUUUUAUUGAAACUUUGCAGAAUAUUUAUUUAGUGAAUUAUCUAUUAGUUUAUCACAAAAAAAAUGGAAGGAAAUGCAUUUCAAGAUGGAUUUAACUGAUUUAAGUUGAUUAUAUAACGAGUUGGCAAACAUUGUGAGUGUAGAAAAUAUGUAGUAAUUAAUGAAAGAAGUUUAAACACACCAUAAUCAUUUAUAUAUAAUGAAUUAGUACAACAUUUUACACUUCAUACAUUGCAUGGUAAGAUACAUGAGUGACUUAGUACCGCAUAGAGUUCCUAUCAAGGUCUAAAAUAUCGAUGAUAUUGGAAAUAUCGGUACUCCAAAAACACGGAAAUUUUGAUGAAAAUAUCAGGAUAAUAUCGAUAUUUUAGACCUUGUUUAGAAGUAUUG
rnacentral:lncRNA from 1 species